AUGCUCUGGUUUCUCUUCAUAACGAAUAAAUCUUUCGCCUUUUACUAAAAAUUUCCGUGGAGAGAAGCAAUUAUGAGUUUGCAAUUUAAUUUUUUGAUGUCCUGCUUAGGCAGGGCU
ensembl:snRNA U5 U5 spliceosomal RNA